UACGGAAGGUCCGGGCGUUAUCCGGAUUUAUUGGGUUUAAAGGGAGCGCAGGCUGGCUGUUAAGCGUGACGUGAAAUGUACCGGCUCAACCGGUGAGUUGCGUCGCGAACUGGCGGUCUUGAGUGCGUGCGAGGGCGGCGGAAUUCGUGGUGUAGCGGUGAAAUGCUUAGAUAUCACGAGGACCUCCGAUUGCGAAGGCAGCUGCCCAGUCCGUAACUGACGCUAAUGCUCGAAGGUGCGGGUAU
rnacentral:rRNA from 1 species